AUUGUUGCAGUUAAAACGCUCGUAGUUGAAUUUCAAAGAGUCAUGGCGUUUCUGAGGUGCUACGCUUGGUUGAUCGCCCAGCACUGACCAUCUAUGAUUUUAUUGUAGAACAGUGAGCCUGGGUGUUUAGCUCCAAGAAAGUUGUCUCCUUUACAAAGUGAUUUUUCUAAGGGUCUCUUGAGUACCAGUCCUUGGGAGGUUCUUUUUACCUUGAGUAAAUUAGAGUGUUUAAAGCAAACAGAUACAACAGUUUACUGUGUUUAAAUACUACAGCAUGGAAUAAUAAUAUCGAAUGAGCCGACGUACUUUUCGUUUCUUUGUUAUUUUGGCUUAGUUACGAUUAACAGGAAUAGUUGGGGGCAUUUGUAUUCAGAUGUUAGAGGUGAAAUUCUAAGAUUAUCUGGAGACGAACAAUUGCGAAAGCAUCUGUCUAACAUAUUUUCAUUAAUCAAGAACGAAAGUUAAGGGAGUGAAGACGAUCAGAUACCGUCGUAAUCUUAACCAUAAACUAUGCCAACUAUGUUUUGGAUGUAUGAGAAAAAGGUGGAAUACUUUGUUUUACGACAUUGUCAUUCCAUUUAUGCUUCAUUCAGUACCUUAGAGAAAUCAAAGUCUUUGGGUUCUGGGGCGAGUAUUCGCGCAAGCGAGAAAGUUAAAAGAAUUGACGGAAGGGCACCACCAGGCGUGGAGCUUGCGGCUUAAUUUGACUCAACACGGGAAAACUUACUAGUAUAAGACAAGAGUAGGAUUGACAGAUUAAUAGCUCUUUCUUGAUUUCUUGGAUGGUGAUGCAUGGCCGUUUUUAGUUCGUGAAUAUGAUUUGUCUGGUUAAUUCCGAUAACGAACGAGACCUUAACCUGCUAGUUAGCGGCCGGUAUGUCGCGAAUUUAUCAAAAUCUUAUCUCGUAGGCUGGAUUAUUUUUAGAAGAUAUGACGGAUAACCGAGUCGAGUGUCGUCCCCAUCACUGUUCUAUUAAUUCGCAGUCUGUCCUGGUUUUUUUUUGGUAAGUAUGUAUCCGCUUGAUGUAGCUUCUUAGAGGUACGAUGUGUGCU
rnacentral:rRNA from 1 species